rnacentral:rRNA from 1 species
UACAGAGGUCCCGAGCGUUGUUCGGAUUCAUUGGGCGUAAAGGGUGCGUAGGCGGCGCGGUAAGUCGGGUGUGAAAUCUCGGGGCUUAACUCCGAAACUGCAUUCGAUACUGCCGUGCUUGAGGACUGGAGGGGAGACUGGAAUUUACGGUGUAGCGGUGAAAUGCGUAGAUAUCGUAAGGAAGACCAGUGGCGAAGGCGGAUCUCUGGACAGCUACUGACACUGAGGCACGAAGGCCAGGGGAGCAAAGCGGG